rnacentral:lncRNA from 1 species
UUUUUUAUAGGUUUUUCUUUAUCUCUAGUUGUUUGACUUUUCUCCUUCUAAUUUACUCUCCUUAUCACAUAAUAUAAUGGUCUUCUCUCUACAUGCCCAAACCACCUAAGUCUAUUUUCACCAUCUUUUAUACUAUAAGUGUUACCCUAACACUCUCUUUAAUAUUGUCAUUUCUAAUUUUAUAAUGUAUAGUAUUACCAUAAAU